rnacentral:lncRNA from 1 species
GAGACGGCUCGAUUUUUGCCGAUUUAUGAUGCAUACGGACGUAGAUGAUACAAAUUUUUUAAAAAGAAUUUUGUGGACUGAUGAAUCCAAUUUUAAUCACGAGGGAAUUGUGAAUCUCCACAACCUUCACCAUUGGGCGCAAAAAAGACAAAAUCCCCGCAAGAAAAGACAAAGUUCCUUUCAAACUAAGUUUAGUGUAAACGUUUGGGCGGGGGUUAUUGGAAGACACCUGAUCGGUCCACAUUUCUUACCAGAGCGCCUGACCGGAGAAAAUUAUUUGAAUUUUUUACUCGAAGAUUUACCUGAAUUGGUAUUACCAGUAUUAGAUGGAGAACCAAUUAUUUUCCAAAAUGAUGGCUGUCCAGCACAUUACCAGCGAGACGUGCGAGAACAUUUGGACAACUGUUUUCCAAAUUCAUGGAUCGGAAGAGGCGGCCCAAUUCCUUGGCCUGCACGUUCACCAGACCUGACGCCCUUGGAUUUUUAUGUCUGGGGCCGUGCAAAAGAAAUUGUGUAUGCGACUGAAGUACCCACAAGAGAAAUUUUAAUCGAAAGAAUAAAUUGCGCCUUUGAAAUUAUGAAAGCAGAAAUGCGACUGAGGACGACGACUGUAGAAAUUAGAAAAAGAUGCCGUGCAUGCAUUCGCAACAGAGGCAGUCAUUUUGAACAUAAUUUAUAACUUAAAUUUAAUUAAAACAUUUUAAAACAUUUUUGUGUUUUCAUUACCCUGGCACUGGUUAAUGUGUACCUUUAGGUUUGUGACGACAUUAUUAAUGAUUUCACACCCAUGUGGCAUAUCGUUGGAAAGGGUAUUAAGUAGGCAUUUUUUUUUUAUUAAAUGAAGUUCAUAAAAGCUUUUACUUUUUUUUAUAAUUAAUUUUGAAUUUGACAUUUUUCAUACGUUUUUUCAUUUUUAAGACUUUGGAAGCUCAACAAGUAUUUUUUUUCCAUCUAGUGCUAUGAAUUUAUGUUUUAUUUGGAAUAAUAAUACAUCAGAGAACGCAAUGAAAGUGAUUUGGUGUAAAUUCGACAACAGACUGAAAAGUUAUAGCGUUUUAAAGGUGAUAGUUCCGGUAAUUUUUAAAAACAAACAAAAAAAAUCGUAUCUCGAAUACAGUGACAUAUAGGACAUUGGGUCUAUGAGUGAAAACUAGUACAUGGCCUCACGAAUCCCCCAAAAAAUUGUGUCGGUCCAUGCGCCAAACACCCUGUAUAGAUGCCAAUAUGUUGAUGUUGACUUGAAAUGGUUGAAUUUGAAUGUAUUUAUAAAGAAUAUAGAUCCAGAGACUGGAUAUAAAUAAAGUUGAUUAUUGAAAUAGGAUAUGAUAUAAGUAUAUAGAUGCCAAUAUGUUGAUGUUUACUUGUAAUGGUUGAAUUGGAAUGUAUUUAUAAAGAAUAUAAAUCCAGAGACUGGAUAUAAAACAAGUCGAUUAUUUAAAUAGGAAAAUAUAUAAGUAUAUAGAUGCCAAUAUGUUGAUGUUGACUUGAAAUGGUUGAAUUUGAAUGUAUUUAUAAAGAAUAUAGAUCCAGAGACUGGAUAUAAAUAAAGUUGAUUAUUGAAAUAGGAAAUUAUAUAAGUAUAUAGAUAUCAAUAUGUUGAUGUUGGCUUGAAAUGGUUGAAUUGGAAUGUAUUUAUAAAGAAUAUAAAUCCAGAGACUGGAUAUAAAACAAGUCGAUUAUUUAAAUAGGAAAAUAUAUAAGUAUAUAGAUGCCAAUAUGUUGAUGUUGACUUGUCAUGGUUAAAUUUGAAUGUAUUGAUAAGGUACAUAAGUCGAGAGACUUGAUAGAAGGAUCUUGAUGUCAAUUUGUUAACAUGACUAGAAGGCGUAGAUAGCUCCAAAUAGGAGUGAAUUCCUUGUUGCAGUCACAGUGAUAGUAAGAUUAACUUACUCUGUUAAACUUGAAUGUUUUGAUAAAGUAUACAAGUCCAAAUACUAGACGUGAAGUUGUUUACCGUAGUAAGAAUUUGUACAAGUAUAUGGUUGCCAAUUUGUUAAAAUGGCAAUGUACACAAGUCACAGUUUGGAUUCAAAAUGAAAUGAAAUGAAAAUAUUCGCAGAAAUUGUUUAUCGUAGUGAGAGUUUAUGCAAUUAUAUUGUUGACGAUUUGUUAGCAUGGCUGGAAGGCGUGGAUGGCUCCAGUUGGAGUGAAGGCCACGAUGCAGUCAUAGUUAGAGAUGGCUGGAAGGCGUGGAUGGCUCCAGUUGGAGUGAAGGCCACGAUGCAGUCCGUCCUAGUUAAAGAUACGACUCUGGAAGGUUGGCACGAUCGUGAAGCCUUGUUGGUGGACAUCCUCUUGGCUUUGCGGUGAGGGGUCAAAUGCAGAUGUCGUGAGUUGAGAUUGGCUGGAAGGCGUGGAUGGCUCCAGUUGGAGUGAAGGCCACGAUGCAGUCCGUCCUAGUUAAAGAUACGACUCUGGAAGGUUGGCACGAUCGUGAAGCCUUGUUGGUGGACAUCCUCUUGGCUUUGCGGUGAGGGGUCAAAUGCAGAUGUCGUGAGUUGAGAUUGGCUGGAAGGCGUGGAUGGCUCCAGUUGGAGUGAAGGCCACGAUGCAGUCCGUCCUAGUUAAAGAUACGACUCUGGAAGGUUGGCACGAUCGUGAAGCCUUGUUGGUGGACAUCCUCUUGGCUUUGCGGUGAGGGGUCAAAUGCAGAUGUCGUGAGUUGAGAUUGGCUGGAAGGCGUGGAUGGCUCCAGUUGGAGUGAAGGCCACGAUGCAGUCCGUCCUAGUUAAAGAUACGACUCUGGAAGGUUGGCACGAUCGUGAAGCCUUGUUGGUGGACAUCCUCUUGGCUUUGCGGUGAGGGGUCAAAUGCAGAUGUCGUGAGUUGAGAUUGGCUGGAAGGCGUGGAUGGCUCCAGUUGGAGUGAAGGCCACGAUGCAGUCCGUCCUAGUUAAAGAUACGACUCUGGAAGGUUGGCACGAUCGUGAAGCCUUGUUGGUGGACAUCCUCUUGGCUUUGCGGUGAGGGGUCAAAUGCAGAUGUCGUGAGUUGAGAUUGGCUGGAAGGCGUGGAUGGCUCCAGUUGGAGUGAAGGCCACGAUGCAGUCCGUCCUAGUUAAAGAUACGACUCUGGAAGGUUGGCACGAUCGUGAAGCCUUGUUGGUGGACAUCCUCUUGGCUUUGCGGUGAGGGGUCAAAUGCAGAUGUCGUGAGUUGAGAUUGGCUGGAAGGCGUGGAUGGCUUCAGU